rnacentral:sRNA from 1 species
UGAAGACCGUCAUCAGGUACCAGACUUUGACACUGAACUUCCCAGCCUCCAGAACUGUAAGGAGUCAAUGCAUUCUCUUGAUGAGUUGGUACAUCUGUGGUAUUGUAUUGUAACAGCACAGAGCAGGCCAGAGCUCCAUCCUGCUUCCUGGUCUUCACAGCAGAGAAGUUCCACUCACCACAGAUCUCUCUCAGUGGCCCAGCUAACUGAAGAACCAUCUCUCCAGCACCGCUCGACCAAUGAGCCUGGUGUGCUUGCAAAGGGACGGAACAGUGACACCAUUAUCUAUUCUCAGUAGUGGUUGGCUAAAAUCCGUCAUAGGAAGCUGUGUAAUCACAAAAGAGCUAGAGUGUGCACCGUUUAACAAGCACAGCACAGGCACCCGCAUCCCCGUGUGUAAGGCUGGGAUAUGUAACGAUGCCCUUUUUGUAGACUUUCCCGCACUCACAGGCUUUGGCCCAAUCACGCCGUAGAAUUGAUGCAUGAGUUAUUAGGGUAUAGAAAAACUUUUGAGGUUGGGGUGCCCUGUGUAGUCUAAAGCUCUAUCUUUGGCUAGAGAUUCCGUUCUUACCUCAGAAGAGAUCAGAAUCCCUCACUCGUUCCCAGAAUAACCAACUUCCAUGCUCGACCAUUUUUGUUUCUUUUUUAAUUUUCCUGGCUAGAGAAAAUAUGGAAACUGAGUUUGCUUCACCUUUCCUGUCUCAGGUGCCUCAGGGAAAACAACAGAUUCCUGGAGCAGAGCCCCUAGGAGCCUGAGUUCUGACUUGAGUUUUAAUGCACAAAGCUCCUGCAAAAGGCCUGUGAGAUCUGCAGUUUCUCCCCACUGCUAAGAUCCACCUUCCCAGAUCUCCGCGGCUAUUUUUAGAAUGUAUUCAGAUACAUUCUGCAAUUCAUAAAAAUAGACAUCCAAUUAAAACACUGUACUGCAUUCAUUUGAUCACUCACGUACUUUCUUAAUUAGCGGCGCCUCUAAACAUUUCAGCAUAAUUUGAGAGGGGCUGAGGGCCAUGGGUGAUGGUCUGCUAGGAUUAUGUUUUUAAUCUUUCUCUUCAUGAAGUCAUAAAGAAGCCUCUGUAGUCUUAGAACCUUCUGCUCCCUGGAUAGGAAUUGAGCCACCUGUUCCCUACUGUCCCAGGAUAGCUGAAGACUGAAACUGUCUCCAUAUAUUUUUCUCUUCCAAAGCUUUCCUUUGCUCUGAAGCAUCAUUUCUUCCCCCUUUCAACUUGGGAAGUUGGGGGAAGGGGAUGAACUCCCUGGUUUUGUUUAUUGGGACCUUUUAUCUUUUAUUUGGGGCUAGGCAAUUUUGCCAGGCACAAUACCUGUAUAGGUCGCUUUGAGGGCCUUGCUUUCAUUUUGUUAGCGGAUGGAUGUUUUAAAGGCCUUCUCAAUCUUUUCAGUGGAAUGUGUAGACAAAGGCGAGAGAUACACAUUAUAAUGGUUGUCUCUAAAAUAAAAUACAUUCUAAAGCCACGCUUAGCCUUCCAAGACAGCAGGGUUUACAGCCAGGGGCGAACAGCAUUUGAGAAAUUCAGCGUAAACCGUAUAACUAAAACCCAUGUCUGUUGAUAGGUGGAUGCCAAUGAUGUCUGGUCAGGGACACCCCAAAUGGCUAAAUCAGGCAUGUUCGAAAGGAGAACUCCCCACUCUCAGCUUCCAGCUCUACCCACCAUGUCUGCUGUCAUGGCCGUUCUGUCCUCCCUUUUAUGGACCUCAACCCUUUGGAACCAGAAGACCAAAUAAACCUUCUGCUUUCCAGCGGGGAUGUCUAAGAAGGCAAAGCGCUUGAAGGAUAUUUUAAUUGAGAAGGAGAAAGGCUAACUCGCAGCAGCAUCGCAGACAGGAAUGCAAGGCCGAGAAAUGCUACACCAGAGACGGGAGGAUUCUGCAGGAAUCUUGGAUUUUUCUCUAGGGAAAGAAGGAGCCAAGGUCAAAUGGAAAAGCCUGGGAAAAAAAUUAAAUACGACUCUGUCUUAAAUUGCAGCAGCGUUUGCAGGAAUGCUUGGCUGCUCGGUUGGUAGGAGACAGAGGGGGAUAACAUUCCUUUCCAGAAAUCCGGGGGAUAUCAAUGUAUUUUUGACAACUAAUAAAAAUCUGGGUUUUGU